UACGAAGGGUGCAAGCGUUACUCGGAAUUACUGGGCGUAAAGGGUGCGUAGGCGGUCGGGUAAGUCUGAUGUGAAAUCUCACAGCUUAACUGUGAAACUGCAUUGGAUACUAUCCGGCUCGAGGAAUGGAGGGGAGACUGGAAUACUUGGUGUAGCAGUGAAAUGCGUAGAUAUCAAGUGGAACACCAGUGGCGAAGGCGAGUCUCUGGACAUUUCCUGACGCUGAGGCACGAAAGCCAGGGGAGCAAACGGG
rnacentral:rRNA from 1 species